AUUUCUCUAAGAACCCAAACCCUAGAGACCCCUCUCUUUACUCUUUCAUCCUCUCACCCUCUCUUAAGUUGCCGCCCCCCUCCACUGCCACCACCGUGCGCCACCGCCGGUGUUGGUCCAAACACCCCCAAAAUUACCACCAAUCUUCUCCUAUCCUCCCAAUCUCUCCAUAUCUUCAACUCAAAUCCCCUAAAACUUCACUAAUCUCCGCUAAUAUGAAGAAAUCCAAAACCCUAUCCCCUUAUAUUUUCCCAAGUUCAUGAGUUUUCAGGCCACUUUACCCCAUAAUACAUACAUGAACUUGUAGAUCUUUCCACGAUCUAGCACUUUUCAUUAGUUUAAGUCCCGAAUCCGUCAACCAAAAUUCAGUGACCACCUUACUGCCGUGCGGCUCCGCUGCCACUGUCGCUGCUUCUCCGUCUUUUAUUUUUUGACCCAAAGGAAUUUGUUUCCUUUUGGCAAGAUGCCGGAAUCUAUUGGUUUAGCGUAUGUCAAAGAGAAAUAUGUGUCUCGGGAUCGGACAACCACCACUUGGCAUCCUCGGCAUCGUCUCAUUGCUCGAUUCGACGUCGGAUGUCCCGGAGUUUGGUAUAAGCUCGCACCCUAAUCUUUUCCCCCCCCCCUUUUUUUUUUCAUAAUUUAUGUUUUUUCCCCAUCCGAGUGUAAGUUUUAGUUUAAUUUUAUAUUUUUAAUUAAUUGUUAAGUCGUGAUUGUUAGUUCAAGUUUACUUUCAUUAGCCUUCUUCAAUAUUUAGUCGUUGCUUAAUAUUUUCGAAUCAGGUACUUAGUCAUUUGUUUAGGUUGCUAUUAAUCAUUGUUCGAUAGUUUAUCAAUAUUUAUUUAAGUUAUAUUUUAGGCAACAUUUCCUAAUUUCAGUCGUCUACUGUUAAUUAUCAUAAAUCGAUUGGCUUUAGUUUAGAUGUGUGAAUACCUAAUUUGAUUACAUUUUAAGUCUUGUUUCUGUUUUGUCACUUAGUUGUUUGAGUUUGAUUUGGUUUGAAUCACAUAAGUUGGUACUAAUAUUGUAAGAGCUGAAGUUCUUUUAGGUUAUUUUAUCAUAAAAUAGGGUAUUAGUCUACUUUUUACUAGUUGGGUGGCUGAAAUAAUAUUUUUUUCUCCUUUCUUCUGACAUAGCAGAUUUUCAGGCUAUCGUUUCACCUUUUUGACGACCUUUGAACAGUAUUUAGCACACAAAGUCAGUCUUUUUGGACAGACUUUUGGUGAACCAAAAUCUGUCCAAAAGUGAUUUUCUUAGCCUAUUUAAGGGCUGCUUUUUUCCUCACUUUAGCGACAGGAUCUUGUAUUGAGAGAUCAUCUUUUACAUUCGGAAAAAAAUAAAGACACAACUUAAGAAAAAUCAUCAGCUGAACAUCCAAAAGUAAGCUGAAAAACUGAAAGUUUGUGAGUUCUUUCUUCUUUUCCUAAGUCAUUAAGCUUUUGGUUUGAGCUUCUGGUUUGUAUCGGGUUUAAAAGAUUGUUGCUGGUCUGU
rnacentral:lncRNA from 1 species